rnacentral:tRNA from 1 species
UUAAUUGAAGCCAAAACUUAGAGGCAAUUCAUUGUUAAUGAAUUUAUUGAUUUUAAACCUAAUCCAAUUAAA